GUCUAUGAACUUAAGUAAUACUAAUAGAUUAUAUUAAAAUUUGUGGAUACGAACAUCCAUAUUAACUAUCCAUUGUGAUUAAGGACAAAAUGAAUUUGGCUUUACUGGUUUCAUGAUACCAUAUGGUGACCUAUUCCAAAUGUACAAUGCUGCAAGUGAAAAUUACAUGAAUUAAAAAUACUACUCAAGGCACCCAUUCGAGAGCUGAGCAAGAUGCUCUUCAGUAUCAGUAAAAAAAAUAAAACAAUUGUAGUCCGCCACAAAGAUUGUGAGAGUAAUUGGUGAUAUAGUACUCUCUCAUCAGCCCUUAUAAACGCCUGAAGGAUCAACAUUCUGCACAAUCCAAGCAUGCUCAAGUACCUUUUUCAUCUGUAUCCCACAAACAUGAA
rnacentral:lncRNA from 1 species